rnacentral:rRNA from 1 species
GACAGAGGGUGCAAACGUUGUUCGGAAUUACUGGGCGUAAAGCGAGUGUAGGCGGUCUGAAAAGUCGGGUGUGAAAGCCCCGGGCUCAACCCGGGAAGUGCACUCGAAACUGCCAGGCUAGAGUAUCGGAGAGGUUGGUGGAAUUCUCGGUGUAGAGGUGAAAUUCGUAGAUAUCGGGAGGAACACCAGUGGCGAAGGCGACUACCUGGCCUGUUCUUGACGCUGAGGCGCGAAAGCUAGGGGAGCAAACGGG